rnacentral:rRNA from 1 species
CGACGAAACUUCUUUAUCACCGAGUGCUUGCACUCACCGGUAAAGGGUUGAGUGGCGGACGGGUGAGUAACACGUGGGCAACCUGCCCAAAAGAGGGGGAUAACACUUGGAAACAGGUGCUAAUACCGCAUAACCAUAGUUACCGCAUGGUAGCUAUGUAAAAGGUGGCUAUGCUACCGCUUUUGGAUGGGCCCGCGGCGCAUUAGCUAGUUGGUGGGGUAAAGGCUUACCAAGGCAAUGAUGCGUAGCCGAACUGAGAGGUUGAUCGGCCACAUUGGGACUGAGACACGGCCCAAACUCCUACGGGAGGCAGCAGUAGGGAAUCUUCCACAAUGGGCGAAAGCCUGAUGGAGCAACGCCGCGUGGGUGAAGAAGGUCUUCGGAUCGUAAAACCCUGUUGUUAGAGAAGAAAGUGCGCGAGAGUAACUGUUCACGUUUCGACGGUAUCUAACCAGAAAGCCACGGCUAACUACGUGCCAGCAGCCGCGGUAAUACGUAGGUGGCAAGCGUUAUCCGGAUUUAUUGGGCGUAAAGGGAACGCAGGCGGUCUUUUAAGUCUGAUGUGAAAGCCUUCGGCUUAACCGGAGUAGUGCAUUGGAAACUGGGAGACUUGAGUGCAGAAGAGGAGAGUGGAACUCCAUGUGUAGCGGUGAAAUGCGUAGAUAUAUGGAAGAACACCAGUGGCGAAAGCGGCUCUCUGGUCUGUAACUGACGCUGAGGUUCGAAAGCGUGGGUAGCAAACA